GAGGAAGGGGGGGAGGAGGUCAAAUCAUCAUGCCCCCUAUGACCUGGGCUACACACAUGCUACAAUGGACAGAACAAAAGGCAGCGAGACCGCGAGGUUAAGCCAAUCCCACAAAUCUGUUUUCAGUUCGGAUCGCAGUCUGCAACUCGACUGCGUGAAGCUGGAAUCGCUAGUAAUCGCGGAUCAGCAUGCCGCGGUGAAUACGUUCCCGGGCCUUGUACACACCGCCCGUCACACCACGAGAGUUUGUAACACCCGAAGUCGGUGAGGUAACCUUUAUGGAGCCAGCCGCCGAAGGUGGGACAGAUGAUUGGGGGAAGUCGAACAAG
rnacentral:rRNA from 1 species